rnacentral:lncRNA from 1 species
UUGGUAUCAGAGUUGAUGGUCACAUAGGACUUUAAAAGUUUCCAACAACAAUUUGAGAUGUUUAUGAAGAAAGACUAGGAGGAUCAUGUUCCCUUAGAGAAGAGACGUUGUGGGUUCGCCACUCAGGUCGAAACGAUAAAAAGCUGGCUGACUUCAACAGCGAUACAUAGCGGUGAAGUACAAUGCUAUAGUCAUAAGGUUAGAUUUUCGUAUAUAUGAUGGCUCAACUAAUCCGCUGUGUUGCAUUAAUCAGUGCAAGUACUUCUUUUGACACUAGUGCUUGAAUCAUAAGGUUAGACUUUCUUAGAUAUGAUGGCUCAACUGAUCUAUUGGGAUGGAUUAACUAGUGCGAGCACUUCUUACAACACCAAAGGAUAGCUAAAGAAGACAAGAUGGGUUUAGCCUCUUUUUACCUUGAAGAUGAUGCCCAACUAUGAUUCCAAAGUUGGAGCAAGAUCCACUAGAGUUCUAUUGGAAGAAUUUAAAUCCCAUAAAGACCUUAGAUUUGGUCCUCUUAUAUGCCGAAACACAAUGGAAAAGAUGUUGAGAUUUGCAAUAAUGGCCUACAAAAAUAUAUCACUUCUCAAGUCAAGCUACAACAACCACUUGACGUCACUAUUGUUAUGAUUUUGACAAGACUCUAUGAGAGGAGCGAUCCAAGGAAACC